AAGUCCACACCCAUGUAACCCUAACCCCCAUCCUCUCCUCCGUUCCCUCAGCCGCCACAGCCGCCGCUCCCGAUUCGGGCGAUUCCGGCGGAUAUUGCCGGGGUGGAGCACACCACCGAGCUCGCCUCGCUCGGAUCCAUCCUUCCCUCCGGCAAGAUUUCCCCCUCUCGACCUCAACUGCUUUCCCAAAACCACUUCCCGUGCUAGGGUUUCGGCAUCCGGCAUCGCCUUCAUCGUCGGCCCUUCUACGGCCGCCUAUGGCGCCUCUUCUCCAUCGUCUACAGCGCCCCCACGCGCGCCCUCGCUUCCUGAUGGUCCACCUCGAGCAGGGCAGCACGGAGGACCUCAUCCCGUAGGAUCCAUGGACGCGGCGCACCUGCAGCCGCCCGUCCGGGACGAGGGUGGGCACCGUGGCUUGUCCUGCUCGACGACAGCUGCGGCGAGUGCGUGUGCUGCUCCUCAUCCUCAAACUCCAAGGAGAAGCGCCAGUACAACAUAAGCAUGCCCCGCCCCUGAACAAUGGCCAUGGCGCUAGGGUUCUGCGACAGCCAGCUAAUUGGUGCGCCAUACUUAUCUGCCUAAUUGGCUGAUUGGGGGUUCUGUUGGGUUGACAACCAGUGGUGUACAGGACGCCCUCCUCGAAGCGGCCAUCCCCGACGAGCUCUCUUCGCUGGAGGAGAUGGAGCAGCAAGUCCAGCACCCGCUUGGCCCCUGUGUCCUACCUCGCGUGGACAAGCUCACCAAUG